rnacentral:snoRNA from 1 species
GUCGAUGACGACGAACCACUUACGACGGUCUUAUGACAAUCACCGAAUAUGGAUUGAACACAAUGUCUUCACGAGAUUGGGGCGCCGCACAUUUUCCAGCCGCGC